UACGGGGGGGGCAAGCGUUGUUCGGAAUUACUGGGCGUAAAGGGCUCGUAGGUGGCCAACUAAGUCAGACGUGAAAUCCCUCGGCUUAACCGGGGAACUGCGUCUGAUACUGGAUGGCUUGAAUCCGGGAGAGGGAUGCAGAAUUCCAGGUGUAGCGGUGAAAUGCGUAGAUAUCUGGAGGAAUACCGGUGGCGAAGGCGGCAUCCUGGACCGGCAUUGACGCUGAGGAGCGAAAGCUAGGGGAGCAAACGGG
rnacentral:rRNA from 1 species